rnacentral:lncRNA from 1 species
UUGUCGGUUCAACAAUUAAGGAUUGCCGCGCAAUCUACGAGCGACCCGAGUUUUUUUCAGAGAGAUGGCGCGUCGGUCACGUAGUUAGGGGAAAUGAGGCCGCUAAGUUAUCAUUUAAGUCGGGGCUUCGUGUGCGUUGCCUUGCAACUGACACUGACUGGUUAUUCUACGCCGUUGAUCAGUCACUUCGAUUGGAAUUUUAGCUGGUAGUAUGGACAUGGAGCAGUUCAGUUGGAGUCUUAAUUAGCGAAUUAACUGAAACCAUCGAAAAGCCAGAAUGACGUUCUUCGUUAAAAGCGGCAUGUAGUACUGUAGCUGGAGAUCUUUGGAAGUCUGCUAACUUAGCGAAGCAAAAAAAAGCUAUUUUUUAUGAUGUGACAACAGGAGUUGCCGUUUGAUUCUCGUGAAACAUGCUCCUUGGCUGCCAAAUUUUGUCUGAUCAGUAUUAGCAGAAUGUUUCCCUAUGGAAAUGGCCAUGUGGGAUCAGUUGGUUGGCAGGUGACACGUAAAGUUGAAUUUAUGCCUGGUGAUGAUACAAACUUAUGGAGAUUCGCUGGCAAAAAAAAUUAGUCAUUACUUCCAAUGUUCCAAGGUAGGAAAAUUGAUUGGCCCAAUGCCACUUCAAGAUGAUUACUCAGGUGUCAAAGAUGUCACCAGUUACAUAUCCUUUUUUUCCAAGCAUCAUUUGUUGAAAAACAACCAAUAGCCGUGCGACAAAUAGCAGAUACCAACUUUGACUGUGUAUUGCAUGGUUUCUUCGACUCACGUCAGCUACCUAUUAAGAAACCCAUGGAGCGUCGAGUUAUAGAUGCUGCUGGAUAUCGCUUGCCCAAAGAAAAUAUUGAAAAAAUCAGUUUAGUGUCGAAAACCCCCACAUCGUGGCACUUUUCGUCAAAAACCUACUUUAUAAAGGGAAAUAUUGUAAUACGAAAUAUUCAACCAUUCUAGUCGUGAAGAUCUCUUCAACGGGGACGAUUUUAAAUAUGAUAGAGCAAGGGGAAAUAUGUUAAUAUAUCAUUCAAGUCAUGAAUAUUCCUUCAUUGUAGACGAAUUUAGUAAAUCUGAAAGAGUUAAUUAAAACUGAAGAAAUACUUCAACUUAUCUUAUUUCUCUUUAUAAUCUUUCCAAUGCCAGAGUCUAUUUUCCUCUUAUCGUUAAGGGAUAACCAAACUUGAUGUGAUGUAUUCCUAAUAGAGCAAGCAAUAAGAUUUCUUUUUUCAGGAACCCUUCUUUUUUUUGCCGCUGUUGCAAUAAAACAAAUGCAUAUGCUUGCGUUUUUGUCAUCUGGUUGAAAGGCAAUGUUCAUGUUCUUCGUCGGAAAAUGAAAACCGUCAAUACGGAUCUUCUAAAAAGCUGUAUUGAUUAGUUUUAAGUGGAAAAUUUUAUGUCCAAGACUUGAGUGAACUUUUCUCCCAAGAAAACGAUAUCUAACAUUUGACAACAUCUUUGCAACGUCAAAAAUCAUGCACAAUUUCCUCGGCUAUGUGGACUUCCAUGAAAAUCAGAUGCGCAUACACCACAUCUACUUCGAUCAAUGUGAGGAACUGCGUUAUCGUUAUCGUGGAGCUGCCAAUAAGGUUGACACACUGUCGGAAGAGAGCGUACCGCUUCUUCGUUUACGUUGCCCUUAUGUCCGUCACGGCGAGAGCACGGUUGACUGGUCACGUGGCGAAGCAAAAAGCUGGGACAGGUCCGUAUCAUUAGCUAAAAGCGAGGGAAGCGACUCGUAUCCAUACAGCUGGCUGACAGCCAGUUUUGUACGAGUUUUUCCGACUUUAUUCGUACGUUUACAGCAAUUGAAUGUAUCAAUCUGCAUACGGAAACCAGUCGAUACGAGCCCAUUCUGCAAGACAGAGCUCAACUGAAAUUGCCUCGAGAAAUUGAAUAAUUGCUUGCAGAAUGAUCGUAUCUUUGAGUGGUUUCUUUCUAGUUCCGUGGAUCAUUCGUGUGUAUCGAGGCUGGCAAAGAUGACUCACUGCUGGCGGUACCACAACAAUUCUGGUAAGAAUCAUGCAUUUAUUUAUUUAUUUUUACAGAUAAACACAUGCCAGAGAUACGAGAUAGGCUAGCAAGAUUCUUAUGAUGAAUAACCGAUUGAAUUUUCAAUACCUUCGAUAGAAACAUUCUUUAUUAAUCCUCGACUGCAUUAUAUGGUCAAUGAUGCGGUCGAAAUAGUCAUUUCGCUAAAUUAGUACAUUGCCCUUGAGCCAAAAGUAAUCGUCUUUUCCGUUUAUCCUUUGCUCCAACCCAGGGUAUCCGAUCUUAUUAAUCAUGGUUUUUUUAAAGAAAACUAAAAGGCUGGUUAAAUCUCACUA